rnacentral:tRNA from 1 species
GCACAUAAGUAAAUUAGCUUAUAUAAUGGAUUAUAAGCGAAUAAGGUAAUAUUGGAGUAUAGCUCAGCGGUUA